rnacentral:lncRNA from 1 species
UUAAUGAAUUCUAGAGUUAUCAAUUCAAUAGGUCGGAUGAUUGAAUUAGUUGUGAAAAAUAGUUAAAUAGGAAAUAACGGUUAGAAUCUAGAAUUUCAGAAGUAAUACAUAAAUAAGUUGAAGAAGAAAAGGGAGGGACUAAACUGUGAUAGUCAUGAGCUAGGGUAAGCUUGGUGCUAUCUCUUUUUUUAAUUUGUUUUUUUGUACUUGAAGAGUAAUGGAUAGUUUGUGAAUAUUGUGAAGUGAAUCGAUGGAAUAAAUUAGAGAUUGAUUUAUGAGAUAUUAAAUAUGUAAUUGCAGUACUAUGUGAUUGAAUUAUUAUGAAAAGAUAUUGAAAGUUUGUUAUUAGAUUUUGUAGAAGAUUGAUUCUUGAUAGAAGAUUAUGAUUAUUGUUAAUUGAGAGUUGUGUAUGUUUUGACAAAAAAAGUCUAUGAUUUUAAAAAUUGUAUGAAGCCAGAUUGGUUGGAGUGGAAAACUAUUAUUUUUGAUAUUGGAUGGAAUUUGUGUAUUUUAAGCAGUCUUUUGAGAGUGUAGGAUUGUACAUUGUUGUUAUCAGUUUAUGAAGGAGUAUUGUUAGUAGAAGAAAACAUUGUAGUGUUCUUUGGUGUUUUAGUAGUUUGAAAUGUGGUUAAUUGUGUGAUCCUAACAUAUAAGCUCAUGCGGUUAGUCUUUUCCUAUGUUCAAAUCUCUCUCUACAAGUUUAUUAUGAAAAAAAUUUGUAGAAUAAGUAAAAUGACAACCACAUAUAGCUAUCUAAGAUUUAAAUUAAAUUACAUAUAAAGUUAUAAUGAAAGAUAGAUCUCUAAAAUUGAAAUUUUGAAUUUUCUUUUAAAUACCAUCUUUUAAUUAAUAAUUUUUAAAAUAAUAUAAGUAAUCUAUUAAUUAAUAUAAUUUUAUCAAAUAAAUCUUAAUAUAGCAUAUUUUUAUUAAAAUUAAAAAUU